UAGUUGGCAACCCAAUACUACGCAUCAUAUCUAUUACGCAUCAUUGUAAGAUUGUAAAUUUUGUUUAAAGACUUGACGAAAAUAAAAACAUUGAUGAAUCUCACGUCGAAUGUGAUGUAGAAAUGAUAAUGGACAAAAAAUCGGACCGAUUAAUUCUUGCGAUACUGUGCUCACAUGUAUUACAAGCAAGAGAUGAUAGAGCAAAAGAAUUCUUAACUCUCCUUAGCACGUUUUGGGUUCAUUGUCGAUCACAAAUUUCUUUUAAGGAGCUCGUCUUAACCGCUGUAGAAGAUGCAUAUUUUUGAAAAUUCGCCAAAUUGUUCAGCAACGCUAAAAGAUCGUCAAGUUACAUCUUUCAUAACAUGUACGGAAUACCAUUCGUGGAUUAUGGAUGAGAGGAAUACGAAGAAAGAGGAAUCAAAGAGAUGGUGGUUCUCGGAUUUUUAAGAAACUAUGCUCGUCACGUACAAGGGAAGCGAAGUAAAAAGAGACUUCUUGAGAGCAAUCAUUAUCGGAGCAUCAAUUUAGAAUACCCCAAUUAUCGAACGAAAUUCGAGGACCUUAUAUCAUGGUGGGGGAAGGGGUAUGAAAGAUGCGCAAAAUAAUUGUCUCCUGGAAGAAAUAACAUACAGUAACCAAAAGAAGAAAAGACUGCAUUGCGUGUUCUAUGAAAGUUGUCAUAUUCAGGCAAUGGUGCUGCGAAUGAAAACAUAAAAAAAUAAAAUAAAUGCGAACGAAAAUAGACAGAAAGAAACCAUUUUUUCGCAGCACCUUUCCCUUCAUCCAUGAUCAGCAGCCGACUGCCGACAGGAAGAAUGCGGAACCCCUUACAACAGGGAUUUCACAAAAAUGUAGAGAGUGCAGCUCUCGAUCAAUAAUGACGAAAAAUAGAAGCUGUAUAAAUCCAAAAGCGGUCCAGUUCUAGCUAUUUAUAUAUAUAUACAUACAUAUAUUUAUAUCUCGGCUACAUAUCUCUUUCAUACAUACAUUGUUUAUAAAACAGUGCAUGUGCAUCUGUACCAUUGAUACUUUGUACCGAGCAGUGCAUUUAAUAAUAUCGAAUUGUAUAUGUAAUAUAUUUAUAAGGAUCUAUAUCUGCGAAACACAUGAUUUCCAGAAGUGAAAAUUUUUUAUAUUUCAGAUUUACUAUCUCAUACCAUAACAUCAGUCAAAUUUCGUCUCGAUCAGUUACAAGUGCUUUUAUGAAGUACAACCGAAAUUUGUUAAAAUAUUUUCUUUGCGAAACCGUUACAGUUAACUACUAUUGUAUACUAAUUUUAAUUAUUAUUUAUAAUUUAUUAUUAAAUUAUUAAUAAAAACUAGAGAUUUAAAUUA